rnacentral:misc_RNA from 1 species
UCUCCGUAGGUGAACCUGCGGAGGGAUCAUUAACACGUUUAUCCAAUAAACAAAACCAAUUUUAUGCCGAUGGAUUUUAAUCUGUCGGUCUGUGAAUUUUAAUCAAAUGAAUUUGAUUAGAGGGAGAAAUUUCUUUAUUUAGAUUCAAUACCCACUUUUUUUUUAUUACAAACCCAUGUAACAAAGUCCAAAUUGAACAGCGUGUUCUUGAACGAUGCUGUACUAAUAAUUAUACAUAUUGACCAAAUAUCUUUUUUUGGUGAAAAGAGAGAUAUUUGCUCAAUUUUGAUUGAAUAAUAACAAGAACAACUCUUAGCAAUGGAUAUCUUGGUUCUC